rnacentral:rRNA from 1 species
UACGAAGGGGGCUAGCGUUGCUCGGAAUCACUGGGCGUAAAGCGCACGUAGGCGGAUCUUUAAGUCAGGGGUGAAAUCCCGGAGCUCAACUCCGGAACUGCCUUUGAUACUGAGGAUCUCGAGUUCGGGAGAGGUGAGUGGAACUGCGAGUGUAGAGGUGAAAUUCGUAGAUAUUCGCAAGAACACCAGUGGCGAAGGCGGCUCACUGGCCCGGUACUGACGCUGAGGUGCGAAAGCGUGGGGAGCAAACAGG